UACAAAUAAUAAACCUAAUACUCCCCAAAGGAAAUAUUGUUCGGUAAUUGAAAUAUCAAGUGAACAAGGUGUACGCAAAAAACAAUGCAAACCUUCAAGUUUUUGAGCUUCUUUUGGGGCUAUGGCGGACAAGCCUCUGAAACUUUUGGUGUAAUGAUGGAGUGAUGCUUAUCGUGCUCCAUCCAAGCUGCAAAACAGUUCAACAACAUACAUGAAAGGACUUGUAUUUAAUUUGUUUAAGAUGAAAGUGAUACUUUAGAUUAUAGCGAAACUAAUAGCAAAUAUAAAAAUUAU
rnacentral:lncRNA from 1 species